CCCUUAGAUGUUCUGGGCCGCACGCGCGCUACACUGAUGCAUUCAACGAGCCUAGCCUUGACCGAGAGGUCCGGGUAAUCUUUGAAACUGCAUCGUGAUGGGGCUAGAUUAUUGCAAUUAUUAAUCUUCAACGAGGAAUGCCUAGUAAGCGUGAUUCAUCAAAUCGCGUUGAUUACGUCCCUGCCCUUUGUACACACCGCCCGUCGCUCCUACCGAUUGAGUGUGUUGGUGAGGAGUUUGGAUUGGCCUCGGAAGGUGGUUCGCCGCCGUCCGUAGCUGAGAAGUUCUCCAAACCGCCCCACUUAGAGGAAGGAGAAGUCGUAACA
rnacentral:rRNA from 1 species